AGACCCUGUGGAACUUAAAAAUCAGCAGCCACCCUAGAACACAUUCAAUCCCACUGGGUUCACGCAUUUAUAGGCUAUUGGCCUGCAUUUUUCGGUUGGGGCGACCUUGGAGAAAAACAAAUCCUCCAAAUACUGGACCACACCUCCAGACUGAGAGCGACCUCUCAACGUGCUAAUAGCAACCAGACCCAAUAUAAUUGAUCAAUGGACCAAGCUACCCCAGGGAUAACAGCGCAAUCUCCUCCGAGAGUCCGUAUCGACGAGGAGGUUUACGACCUCGAUGUUGGAUCAGGACAUCCUAGUGGUGCAGCCGCUACUAAGG
rnacentral:rRNA from 1 species